rnacentral:rRNA from 1 species
UACAGAGGGUGCAAACGUUGCUCGGAAUUAUUGGGCGUAAAGAGCUCGUAGGCGGUUUGUCGCGUCUGCUGUGAAAACCUAAGGCUCAACCUUGGGCUUGCAGUGGGUACGGGCAGACUAGAGUGCGGUAGGGGUGACUGGAAUUCCUGGUGUAGCGGUGGAAUGCGCAGAUAUCAGGAGGAACACCGAUGGCGAAGGCAGGUCACUGGGCCGCAACUGACGCUGAGGAGCGAAAGCCGUGGGGAGCGAACAGG